GAAGAUUUGGGCAGCAGGUAGGGAGGGAUUGCUGGAGUGGAAACAUGGCAAGAACCGGAAAGAGCUCAAGAUUUUGCUACUACCUUGCUAAUAAAUUUGUGAGGUAAUUCAGCUAGCUACAUGUGUAUUUGUUUCUGCUAUACCAAGGUCAUUAUUCUGAUUUAGAAAAUAGAAACAUGAAUUCUGAUUUAAGAGUCUAAUAGCAAAUGUUGGUAGCAUUAAUAGAAUGUGCAUUGUACGCACAAGCUAAUAGUAGAGUUUAAUUCUUCUCAAGUAGCGGUUGUUGAUGUAGACUUGAACUAAUUAAUAAGGUAGGUAUCAAGUAGUGAUAUCGUCCACAAUCGAUGGACGACUAAUAUUCUUGAGCAGGCUCACAGAGCGAGAGACGAACCUGGGCUGACCGGGACCCUUCUAAAACUGUUGUAUAUCUAUGAUUCUGAUCUGUAUAAAAGAACUACAUAGGAUCAUUUUUGUUCUUAUUUUUAAGACAUGCAUGAUCAUCCUAGGCAUUUUGCUGACAAGUAAAAACCUGAAACUAAUUUCUAUUUAACAUAAACUCUAAUAUCUAUACUAUACAGGCAUUUUAGACAUGUAUAUUGGCUCACCAACAAUUUGUCUUCUGUUGAAAUGAAUGGUAACACUUGAUUUUAAAUUUCCUAAAUCUUUAUUAUUCUUCUGUUGCAAUAUAAUAUAACGAGGCAUGGUCAGCAGGAAACCUAAUUCUCCGUGAACAUGCGCAAAAGAGUCAACUUUUAGUUCUUUUAGAAUUUUUGUUCUUUCCUUAGAGUUCAUGAGAAUUAUUUGUAGACGGUGUUGUGAUGCUCCAGUACUUGUGUGAUGAUAUUCUUCUGACUCUUGCAAUGUCCUAUGCUGACAAAUACAAAUGCUCUGCUCUAUUUGAUGCUAUAAUUGUUCAUUUUGAAUCCAUUGCCUCUUUGUAAUGGUAAACCAGAGUCCCUUGACAGUUCGUUGGUCAUCUUCUUCUCAUGACAGAACUGGCAAGAUGUCAUGAUGGAACAAUAUCUUUUCUGCAUGUAGUAAAUUAUUUUCUUAUUAGUUUAGAUCCGUUAACUGCACUAUAUUUUUAGGAGGUGUCACACUAAGAAUUUCAUAGUUGGAUUUUGAUGUUCCAGGUUGCUUUAUGGAAGUAUUUAUAGGCUUGCCAUGACAAGGUAUUUUAUUAGUUUGUUAUCUCCCUUUCCAUAGACUUUUUACAUUCUACUCUGGUUAUUAAGUACGUAUACAUAUAAAGUGUGCUCUAUUGCUUAACUAAAUUCUGGACUUCAGGUAUACUACCUGACAAUGCACCCCGUGUUGAUAAAAAUAACAUUGGGAUGCACCACAUACAGAUUCACAAAGUUUAGGUCUGUUUCCUUGGAGAUUCACAAACAAGUGAUGUAGAAUUGGAAAAUAGUGAUGUAGAAUUGAUCCGAAUUUUAAACAGACCUGCACCUGGGUUUUUAACUGCCUUUUCUGUAUCUUAUUCUUUUACAGGAAUGCAUCAAUAAUCUUGGUAUAAAAUUUAUUUGGAUGGUUCAGAACCUUCAGAUGGCAUGGCUGAGAUAUAGUUUGUUGUAUUCAGUUUUUUUUUCAUCGUCACAGGUUUGCAAAUUUUGGUUCUACUGCCAGUGCAUACUUUAUGUUUCCAUUUCCAUCAAUUCAUCUUGUAGAAUCUCUGUGACCCUCGACGUUGGUUUGGAAGUUCGGUUCAGUCAUAGCCUAAUUUUUGGGUCUUCGCAAAAAAAGGCCUAAUUUUGGGAUUUAGUAAUUGUGGCCUGUUGUUAGUAUGCGAGUGUACAUACAAACGAUUGGCACUAUAUUUAUUUUGAUUUAUUUGUUGUGAUUAAGAGCAGAAGCUCUACUCAUCUAGGACGAGAUCUAUGACAAGGAAAGUUAAUGUAAAAAAUCAAAAUUGUGUGUGUUUGUGUGGUUAAUACACACUUCAUUUUGAUAUAUUUGUCUUCUAAUAACCCACCGUGCACAGGACAGACCAUGCAAGCAUCAACUUAUUGAGAAAUGACUUAUUAACCUAUUAAAAGACCAUACCGGAACCACCUAUGGCAUAACCUUUUCAAAACAUUUAAGUAGGGGUGGGCAAUAGAAGCGUUGUAGUAACUGCUCGGUUGUUGAACGGACAAACAUUUUGACGACUACUCUUGCUUUCAUGGAUAUACAGAGAUAAAUGGAUGGAUGUUGCAAAUAUAGUAGAAAUCAUGGGUGCAACAAUUUUUAUGUCCAUGUUUUUCUUUUUGUCUGAUUGUGUAUGUAUACUGGUUACAGGGCACUAUUUGCGUAGAAUUUACUUGACCUGUAGGAACUGGCUCUACUAUCUAGCUUUUAAAUGUAAUAAAUCUAGAAGGCAAUGGAGCAUUACUGUCUUUCCCUCUUUCUACAUAAGCAAGAAAGCUGUGACUUGGAUUCUGGACAUGAAUCUUCUUAACCUGUUGAAGCAGAAAACUAUAGAUGCAGAGUCCAAUUAGUUGUCCUUUGUGCAUACACAAGAAAGUGGAAUUUGGAGUCUGAACAUGAAUCCUUGAGACUGAUGGCCAGAAACAUAACACAACAUGAUGACCUUGAGUGAGACCCUUCUUCACAUGUGACUGCUCUCUUUUGGAAUACCAGCCAUGCGUGACAUGUUUAGUAGAACAGAUUGUGUCGUACGUCUGGUAGUUGUUGUUGCCUAUACAGAGUGUGAUGAUCUGAGGGUGUGAACUAUUUUUUGUGCAAAAUACUUGUUAUAUAAACUAUAUGGAUGGAGUUACGGGACAUUAAGAAAAGAUAUGAGAAAGAAUAUAGAGUGUGAAAUUUGCUAUAUAAAUUACUUGUUAUAUAAAAGUUGAAUCUCACGAUCCAACUUUUUAGAACUAUGCCACAACUUUUAUGAGGCCAUAAGUUUUUCCUUUGAAAUCUGCAGGUUAUAUGAUUUGUACAUGGCGGUGUUACUGAACAGAAGGAGGUAAUUUCUUCGCUCUUUCUAUUGAUUAAUAUUGUUCUUCACUCUUUCUAAACUAUUGAAUUUAUUAAUAUUAUUCUUGCACAAAUUAAUUAAUGAUUAUAUCAUCUUUUGGUCACUCGAGUAAGAUAGAACAUGAUGAUCCUCUCUUAAUUUGGUUUCUCCUCCGCUGAAGAAUAUAGGAAUCACCAGCAGCCCUUCUCGUGAGCACCAUGUCUAUGAACUCAUCUCCAUGCUUACUAUCCUUCUAUAAACUGGGGGUAUCCAUGUGUUGCUAAUAAGGCAUUUUCCACUCUUUGUUUUUCAAUUCUGUAUCAGUAGUUCCGAGGAAGUGCUCAACCUAGACGUUGUUGGCCAAAGGAGGGGCGGAGCAGGUGCCAGUCAAAUAGGCGGCUCAAUGGGUGGGAGAUGGCAGCUGCCGAUCUCACACGGCUCAUGCGCCCCGCGACCCUCCCCUCCCCGGCUAAGUAGGAGGUUCGAGGGCAGCGACUAAGGAAGGAGCACAUCGGCGAUGAGGGCUAGCAAUAGCAAGACAAUUGCCAGGUGCAGUCGAUAUGCCGCCACGUCGGCCCUUCACGCGCGCCCGCCAGGGUCGGGACCUUUUUCAGAGUAAUGCGUAGUGUUUCCUUUAUUGUUGUUGUUUGUGAUGUCCUUGAUAUUCCUUUGCCAUAUGAUUUUUGAUCAUUUUCUCGCUCAUUCCUAGAGGAGCGCUAUGGAUAAUAUGAUUGAGAUGACUAAGAUACAUGCUUUUUGUUUACUUGGCAUCUGCUUCUCUUAAUUUUUUUACAACCCUUCCUUUACAUGCUGGUAUGUUUUGUUGCCAGGCUCAGAUCGGCGAGACCCGUGCCAAUGCACGAGGUACAAUAUUGGUUAAUUUUCCAUCUCCAAUCAGAUUAAUGGUUUGCAUGCAGACCAAGCCCAGUGUUUUAUGGUGUUCUUAUUCCUGAUUUAGUUGUACAUUUGACUUUUAGUUUCUUCAUAGAUAAUAAAGUAGUGGCAGAUGAACCAGUAAGUUAUAUGUGCCCAUUCUUUGCUGUAAGCAUUAAAUUUGCUCUCUGCUUUUACUUUCAAUGUGUUAUCCGUACCCCUGUUUUUUGUGGCUAAUUAUUAUGUCCUAUCAACAUAUGCAGAGUCCAUGGUAUCAUACGAUUUGAAGUUGAAAAAAUCAUGCUAUGGGUGAUACAGAAAAGUCAUUGCCUUCUUUGCUGGAACAUUUCCUAAGAUGAUCUAAGGUAAUUAUUUUAGUCAGCAUGUCAUUUAUAUGCUAAAUUCAGUGUGUUGACAACUAGAGAUCGCUUCCUUUUUUUGUGUAUUGAUCAUUUCAGUACGAUUGUUUGAUACACUGCCGACAUCAUUUUGCUUUCUUCUUGCUUGUUAUUUCAUUUAUUUCCUCCAGCAAGUGGAUGGCUAUUUCCACUGCUUCAAGUGUUGUUUUGGCUCUAAUUGUGUGUAUGGCAUCUUGGCCUUCUUAGGUGAAGCAUUUAUGAAUAUCCUCGCUGAUCUAUGGAUCUAUCAUUGUAAGAGUCGAUAAUAUAUGGUGAGCUGCCUCACACCAUCAUUUGGUCUUUGUAGCAUUUGAGUUGGCAAAUUUGUUGGAUUCAUGCAAUUAGGCAUGGUAAGUGCUCAGAGACCUCAUAGCUCUAUAAAUUUUGCUUCCAAAAGUUCUGAAUCUUUUCUGUGCUUGGUCCUCUCAUUGGUGAGAGUAGCCAUGUAAAUCAAUCUGCAAUGGGAAAUGGGAGUUUGCAAACUACCGGAGUCUAAUUGCUGAGGGACGAGGUUCGUAACUGAGGGUCAUGUGCAGAGCUGGAGGAAGAAGUUGCGAGGCUUGGAACUCUCCUUGUGAAGGGCUCAGGGACAACAGUGAGGACAAUGCCUCUUUAGUUGUAAUUGUGAUACUCCUGAUGUGCAAGUAAACAUUCCUGUGAUACUGCUUAUGCUAAAAUGUUGGUUGUUAGUACAGAGGUGGUGACAUUAUUUGGUUCUCUGAUAUUGAUUUCAUGAUUUGUAAUAUAAUCCACAUUGCAUUAUCUUUCCAGUAACAUCUCCUACUUAUGCACUACUAACAUUCUUUCUAAUUC
rnacentral:lncRNA from 1 species